AUGACUCGGGAUGGUCCCGACCGCGCUUCAUAUCAGGCUCCGCCGCGAGGACGGCCACUCCUUUGCGCUUCACAUCCUUGGCCUUGGCUUUCUUCUCUUCUGGGUCGGCAGCUUCAAGAGCCGUGCAUAGCUCCUCGUGGAUGGUCACCUGCGGCCGGAGGGCGGUCGCGAGUGCCCUGGAAGUUGGCGAUGAAGCGGUCGCGCAUCCUAUCCCAGGAGGAGAUCGAGCCUGAGGGCAGGUUCAGGAGCCAUGGGGAACCAGUUCGCCAUGACCUUUUCGUCGCCGUUGGCCACCUCGAUGCUCAGCUUGUAGAGCUGCAAGAACUCCGCAGGGUCGGGGGUGCCGUCGUAGCGAGGAGGCAGAUCCGGCUUGAACUUGCCCGACCAGACGACGCCACGCAGCUCAGGGGUGAAGGCGCGGCAACCGGCCGUGGCCACCGGGCCCUGUCGUGGAGGCGGAGCUUUAUCUUGGUGUCCCCGCGCUGCCACGGCAAGUGGCGCGUGGCCCCGCUGUGCCAAGCGAUCCUGACAUGGCGGUGCUGGGAGCGGUGGAGCGUUUUCUUGCGGUCGGGGUACUUCUUGGCAGCUUCCUUCUUCCCGCGCGGGUGCCCGGCGCGGCGGGUCGUACCGAGGGGCCGCGCGUCUUGGCGCCAGAGCGCCGUCUUGGUGCAGAGGUGGCGGAGGUGCUCCGUGAGCUACGUCGCCCGCAGUUGGCGGAGGGCGAGGCAUCGAGAGGGAUGGCGUGGGGGAGCCCCCAGUGGCGCUGACGAGCUCGGCGAUGCGGUCCAACCAGUCCUCGUAGAGGUCGUCGACCGGGCGGUAGCGCAGGAGCUCGCGUGCCAUGAGCAGCGCGGCCUGCGCGUCUAUGGGAGCGCGGCGAGCGUGAGACGACGAGCCGGCUGGGGUCAGCGAUGGAGUGGCGGUGCGGCCAUCCCGCUGCACGGAGGGGUGCAGAGAGGAUGCUUGCUGCUCAUUUCCCGCCGGACCGAUGGCGGCGUUGGCGGCGGGUGA
rnacentral:rRNA from 1 species